AUGUAUCAUUAGCCCUAAUUCCCAAAUUCUUCCGAUAUAAUUUUUCACAAAUCCCUAGAAGACAUAUCCAGAGGAGAAGUUUUUCAAAACCUUACGGUGAUCAAAGCAAGGAGUAAAGAACAAUGAGAUUCAGAAAAGGAAGUAGAGUUGAAGUGUUUAGCCACAAAGAGGCAGCACCGUAUGGUGCGUGGAGAUCAGCCGAGAUUGUAUCGGGUAAUGGUCACACUUACGGUGUUAGAUAUUACUCUUUCGAGUUUGUUAACAACGAGGCGGUUGAGGAGAGAGUUCCGAGGAAGAUUAUAAGGCCGUGCCCGCCUCAAAUAGAUGUAGACAGAUGGGAAGCUGGUGAAUUAGUUGAGGUUCUUGAUAACAAUAUUUGCUGGAAAACUGCUACGGUUCUGGAGGAGUUACCUGGACGAUAUUACGCGGUUCGGUUGCUUGGUGCUGCUGUCGAAUUCACGGUUCAUAAAGUUAACCUCAGGGUUAGACAAUCUUGGCUAGAUGAAAUAUGGGUUGUGAUUGGAAAGGUAUCUUGUUCGCUGAAGUCAUCUACGCUGACUGGAUCAGAUGUACACCAGAAUGUGAAGCCUGUUUUGAAUAGUGUGGUGCCUCUGGAGACUAGUGUUGCUUCUUUAAGAAUGUUGAAGAGACAAUCACCUUGUGAUUGGGCGGAGUCUGCUGAAUCAUGUACGAGAAGUCCUAAGAAGAUAAGAUCAUUAGAGGAAGAGGGAUAUCAGCAUUGGUUUGAUACUGCCGCUUCUGGAUGUAUGGGUGGUAAAACGCAUGUGCAAGCUUCGUUGAACAAGAAGAAAAGUGAUUUCCGUCAAAUGGUCAGGGUAAGAUCAAAAAGGUUUAGUGAAUGUGUCGGUACAGGAAGCUCAGUCUCUAAUGGUUGUUAUGAUGAUACUGAUGCAUGCUCGGUUGGUAGUUGUAGCCCUAUUAGUUAUGAUGAGAGUGACAUGCCAACUUCUUUUCUAGAUGGUUCUAGUCGAGGUGCGGACUCUUGUAGUAGUGAUGCAGAAUCUUCAAAAGAAACAUUUGGGCUCAGAGAGGAAGCAGGUGGUGGAGCAGUGAGAUCCUGUAGGCAGGAACUAUACACUUACCGCAGAACACUGGGGAAGUUAUUCGCUUCUGGCCCCUUAAAUUGGGAUCAGGAAGCAUCACUAACCGAUCUCCGACUUUCUCUUAAUAUAUCAAACGAUGAACAUUUGACAGAGCUAAGAAAUCUAAAGUCUGCUGGUACCCACAGUUAAUUUUGUUACUGUAAAUCAUAUCUUUUUGAUCCCUUGACAGUCUUAUCUACAGGUGUUGGACAUACUUCCCUGCAAUGUGGAAGCAACUGUUAUACAUUGUUCUUUUUCCAGAGGAUUCUUUUAAUGAUUGUAUAGACAGCAGAGGGGAAAGAACAGUGUAGCAAUGUCAAGGUGUCUGCACUCUCCAGAUAUGAUUGCCUCUAGAGUUCUCUUAUUCUGAUGCUUGGGGUUUACUGAAUGGUGUAAAAGACGAUAUCUCUUCUUUCCCAAGUACAUAACUGAAAUUGUGCUAGGUUUUUUAUUUUGGCUAGACAUAAAUCAUUGUUUCAGGUGUCCUUGGACUAGCUAUAUGCACUUUGACCUGUUCCUAUCCUAAUGGUAACAUGUGUCUGUCUAUACCUGAGAGAGUAUUGAGUUGUGUUGAUGAUCAAUUAUUUUGAAAGUAGUAUUUGCUUUUUCAGGUUAUGACAUUUCAAGUAGACUUACAGAGAGAUGCAGGGAUUCAUAUGUUUAACAUAAAUCAAUUUUAUCCAGCUUGUUCAUUCCUCCAAUUGGGUUUUGACAUGCUACUUGUUUGUCAACUAUAACUUUAUAAGAUCCCUUGUGAAGAUGUUUCAUUCAUUUUCUACUUUAUCUGUCAUAUAUAAUGAUGUUUCUAUGAUGACUACGUUCUAUAUAAUGUAUGUUUUGUAGCA